UACGAAGGGGGCUAGCGUUGAUCGGAAUCACUGGGCGUAAGGGGUGCGUAGGCGGGUCUUUAAGUCAGGGGUGAAAUCCUGGAGCUCAACUCCAGAACUGCCUUUGAUACUGAGGAUCUUGAGUUCGGGAGAGGUGAGUGGAACUGCGAGUGUAGAGGUGAAAUUCGUAGAUAUUCGCAAGAACACCAGUGGCGAAGGCGGCUCACUGGCCCGAUACUGACGCUGAGGCACGAAAGCGUGGGGAGCAAACAGG
rnacentral:rRNA from 1 species